rnacentral:lncRNA from 1 species
ACGAGUUGAAAUGUUCAAUCACUGCUACACUGAUAACAAAGGAAACCCAUCUAGUAGUGCAGCAGCUAAUAUUAUGGUAAGUAAAAUCUUUCAUUAUACUGUUUACUUGCUUUAAAAUAUGUUAGAAAGAUCUAUCCAUUACUUUCUAAUCUAUAUUAGGAUUGUACAAAUGUAAUCAUUGUUUUACUCUUUACACUUUUGCAGCUUGCAAUGAAUGAAAAGGUUAGUCAAUUGCCUCCUGAUACUGAAGAUUCUGUUGGAAAAAAUGAUGUAUUUGCACAAGUAGUUGGGCAAGACAAGCAUGGGCAUGUACGAAUGUAUGGUUUUGGUAUAUGUCCAACUGAUGUGUGGGGUGAUGAACCUAGUCGAAGUGGAUCUCAG